CAGAAACUUGAAGGGAGGGCUAGUUGGCAUGUCCACAUGUGCCGAGCAUGAAUUACAGGGUAGAUCUCCUUUGGCACGGAGGCAUGCAGCCAUGCAUAGGUACGCUACUGGAUGGAGGUAAGGUAGCUUGGAAUUGAAGAUGCUGCAUAAUAGCCAUGCGUGCCAAAGGAGAAUUGCCCUGCGAUUCACGGUUCUGUAACUUUUUAUGAUCUGACAGUUGACCAAGCUGUGUGUAAAUCCAAUUAAGCACCAAUAUCAUAUACACGGUGUAACCGUGUGAGAUGGCUUUGCAAUGCGAGUACAACUAACAGACUGUUCAGAUGAUUGUCAUUAUCAGCUAGGUGUCUUCAGCCUUUAGAAUGGAUCGAAGAAUUAGCUACCCUGCUGACCCCAACCUCUCAAGAUAACAAGCGAAUUCAUCUUUGGGCAUGUGAGUUUCCUCAUUCUGUCGCCAAAGGCAAAAUCAUUCCUUUUUCCUCACAACAGAAAAUUCAGUUGUACAGUUUGAUAUACUCUACUAGCUUCCCAGCGACCCAUGUUCUUUUAGAUAGACUUACCAGACUACCAACUGUUGAUCGGAUUGCGCAUUGGACAUGUCGGGAAGAGGCAUGGAGCCAGUUACACUUCUUGCUUCUACCUCUCUUGCCACAAGCAACUAAUGCACAGGCAGUGCAGCACCGUACAUUACUAUAGUAGUCUCUUCCAUCCUCCAGGCACCAGCCAACCAAGACAAAGCAGUAUAUAGUAGUGUAGCAAUACCUAUCCUCUCUCAAUCCAGCCUUGCGGUUCUUUUAUUUUAUUCCUUUGCUGGAUAUACUAGUGUUCUUUGCCCA